AUGCAUGAUGCUGAUGUUGUUGCGAAAGGCUUUCCUAAAGUGACGAAGAACUGUGGCCUUCUUGAUGAGGUUACAGGGCUGUUUCUAUUUUCUGGUUAUGGAAUUGGUUUUGGUUGUUUGACAGUUGGGAAUGAGUUAGAAAAGUUGGCUGUUAGAGUUUUAUGUAGGCUGAUUUAUGCAGGUAGGCAGGAGGUACAACAAGUUGACGAAGCAAGGAGUUUAGACACAAAGGCUAGUGAAGAUGAAAGCAAAGCUUUGGCCAUGGAGUUGAUGAAGGUGAAAGCGAAAACAUGGUUGAAGCUUAAAGUUAGGUGA